AAUGGGCGCAAGCCUGACCGAGCCAUGCCGCGUGAGCGAUGAAGGCCUUAGGGUUGUAAAGCUCUUUCGCCAGGGAUGAUAAUGACAGUACCUGGUAAAGAAACCCCGGCUAACUCCGUGCCAGCAGCCGCGGUAAUACGGAGGGGGUUAGCGUUGUUCGGAAUUACUGGGCGUAAAGCGCGCGUAGGCGGAUUGGAAAGUUAGAGGUGAAAUCCCGGGGCUCAACCCCGGAACUGCCUUUAAAACUCCCAGUCUUGAGUUCGAGAGAGGUGAGUGGAACUCCGAGUGUAGAGGUGAAAUUCGUAGAUAUUCGGAAGAACACCAGUGGCGAAGGCGGCUCACUGGCUCGAUACUGACGCUGAGGUGCGAAAGUGUGGGGAGCAAACAGGAUU
rnacentral:rRNA from 1 species